rnacentral:rRNA from 1 species
UACGUAGGGUGCGAGCGUUAAUCGGAAUUACUGGGCGUAAAGCGUGCGUAGGCGGUUGCUUAAGUCAGAUGUGAAAGCCCUGGGCUCAACCUGGGAAUGGCAUUUGAAACUGGGCAGCUAGAGUGUGAUAGAGGAUGGCGGAAUUCCCGGUGUAGCGGUGAAAUGCGUAGAGAUCGGGAGGAACAUCCGUGGCGAAGGCGGCCAUCUGGAUCAACACUGACGCUGAGGCACGAAAGCGUGGGGAGCAAACAGGGAUUAAGAAACCCCCGUGUAGUC